AUUUAAAUAAUUUAAAAAAAAUAUUGAUUUGUGGAGUCAAAAAUGUUUGUUUAUAAACUUUAAAUA
rnacentral:tRNA from 1 species